rnacentral:rRNA from 1 species
CGAUGAAACACCUUCGGGUGUGAAUUAGCGGCGAACGGGUGAGGAACACGUGAAGAAUCUGCCUUCAACUCUGGGAUAACUCCGGGAAACCGGGGCUAAUACCGGAUAUGAGCCUCGAUCGCAUGAUUGGGGCUGGAAAGUUUUUCGGUUGAAGAUGACUUCGCGGCCUAUCAGCUUGUUGGUGAGGUAAUGGCUCACCAAGGCGACGACGGGUAGCCGGCCUGAGAGGGCGACCGGCCACACUGGGACUGAGACACGGCCCAGACUCCUACGGGAGGCAGCAGUGGGGAAUAUUGGGCAAUGGAGGAAACUCUGACCCAGCGACGCCGCGUGAGGGAUGAAGGCCUUCGGGUUGUAAACCUCUUUCAGUAGGGAAGAAGCGAAAGUGACGGUACCUACAGAAGAAGCACCGGCUAACUAUGUGCCAGCAGCCGCGGUAAUACAUAGGGUGCAAGCGUUGUCCGGAAUUAUUGGGCGUAAAGAGCUCGUAGGUGGUUCGAUACGUCGGAUGUGAAAAUCAGGGGCCCAACCCCUGACCUGCAUCCGAUACGGUCGAGCUAGAGUUUGGUAGGGGAGACUGGAAUUCCUGGUGUAGCGGUGGAAUGCGCAGAUAUCAGGAGGAACACCGAUGGCGAAGGCAGGUCUCUGGGCCAAUACUGACACUGAGGAGCGAAAGCGUGGGGAGCGAACAGGAUUAGAUACCCUGGUAGUCCACGCCGUAAACGGUGGGCGCUAGUUGUGCGAACCUUCCACGGUUUGUGCGACGCAGCUAACGCAUUAAGCGCCCCGCCUGGGGAGUACGAUCGCAAGAUUAAAACUCCAAGGA